GGUAUAUGUAGUGGAAAAUGAAACUAUGGAUCAGUGGUUCCUCUUACGGUCGGAUUAAACAGAUGGGCGUUUAUGAGCACCUACAACAGUCUGGACCUUUGAACUUGACGCGGCUAACGAACUGGAAGUCUCGCGCAUUCAGAGAAAACGGCUUACUUCUGCACUGAAAAAUAAGAGCGAUUGGAGAGGUGGACCAGGCCAUGACUCACCAAACUCCAGUAAGCUAAUAUCCCUCGAUCAGGUGCAUAAGUACCAUGUGAUCAGUUGACCGCCCUGCUAUUCUGAGGCAUGAUCCACAAAGUUUGGAAUUGUGUUUCUCUGAAGAAGUUCGAAA